rnacentral:rRNA from 1 species
UACGGAGGGUGCAAGCGUUAUCCGGAUUCACUGGGUUUAAAGGGUGCGUAGGUGGGCAGGUAAGUCAGUGGUGAAAUCUCCGGGCUUAACCCGGAAACUGCCGUUGAUACUAUUUGUCUUGAAUGUCGUGGAGGUGAGCGGAAUAUGUCAUGUAGCGGUGAAAUGCUUAGAGAUGACAUAGAACACCGAUUACGAAGGCAGCUCACUACGCGAAUAUUGACACUGAGGCACGAAAGCGUGGGGAUCAAACAGG